CCAAACCUAAACCUAUAUCGCGCCGUCCACCGUAUACCGUCACGACACCACCACGACUUUCCUCCUAGCUGCUGCCGUCCGACCAUCUCUCUCAGCCUCAUCUCCCUCUUCCCCUUCCUAGAUCGACGCCCCUUCCUCUCUCGAUCAGGAUCAAGACACGACACCCUUGCUUCUCCGUCCAACCACACCGCAUCUCCUCCAACUCGAUAAGAGGAGGUCUUCUUCGCAUUCCGGUCAUUUUUAAGCCAAAACAGAGAUUUCCUCCAUGAGCGAUGACCUUUCUGUAAGUAGAACCUUUCCUUUUUUGUAUUUUCUCAGAUUUUCUCUGUGAGCCCUACCGGUUUCUUUGAUCUCAUGGAAGAAGCGGUGUAAAAGAAAGCAUUUUCACCCAAAUGUCGAUCUUGAGCGGAGGAAGAGUAGUGUGCGUGUUGAGAUCCAGGAUGUUCCCUAGCCCAAUCCAAGGGAUUUUUUUCUGUGUCGUACUGCUGUUGUUGUUGUUGUAUUGUUGUUUCGCCUUCUUCAAGUUAUCCCUUUUGCGGCGCCCUCCCUUUUUCCUACCCCUUUCUGGUUUUCCUCCCUUUUAUGGAUCCGGUUGGCGCAGUGUAAGCAUCAAGCAAUAAUAAGUGGCCGUAGUGGUGGUGGGAUGGAGAGAAGGGGAAGAGGUUGGUAGGUUGUCUUGCUGGCAUCGCAUUACUUUAGCGGAAGACAAAGAGAUUGUCAACUGGAGAAGAGGCCGGAGGGAGCUAGGGGAUGCGACCAUGGCGCUCCAAUGAGGCUGCAGUGGCUUUGAUUUGAAUGAGGCUGCAGGGCCUUUCUUGUGUUUUCCCCUGGAUUGAGGCAAUACUUCAUGGAGACGAGUGCGGGGCUGGUUGCCGGCUCGCACAAUAGAAACGAGCUAGUGGUCAUCAGGCGCGAUGGGGAAUCGGGGCCGAGACCGCUACAACAGCUGAGCGGGCAGGUGUGCCAGAUCUAUGGCGACGAUGUUGGCCUCACUGUCGACGGUGAUCUCUUUGUCGCGUGCAACGAAUGCGCCUUUCCUAUUUGCAGGACUUGCUACGAAUACGAGCGACGGGAAGGCAACCAAGUCUGCCCUCAGUGCAAGACCAUAUUCAAGCGGCUCAAAGGUACGUAAAAGAAUGAAACGCAAGGAAGCCCUAGAUCCCUUCCCUUCUUUCAUUUUUAGGAGAUAUAUUAAAAGUUUACUCCGCUAUAUGGGAAACUUGAGUUGGCCAUUUAGUGUAUUGCUAUACCAACACACGAAAGUUCCUUUUCAGCAAAUCUCGCCAGUCUUAAAUCCUGUAGUAAACCCCAGUGAUGGAUCCUUCGGGUAUAUGAUCCUUCUUGUUUUAGAACCUGAUAUGGUUUCAUCCGUAACUCCCUAUAGGGUUAGUAAUAGAUCUCUCUUUGCUUAUAUCUUACUUGUAUCAGAUUGUUGAAUUCAACGACAUUGUAAAUUUACAGCAGAAAUUGAAUUGUUUGUUAACUCAAUAUGAUCUUUGGGAAUAAACUAGAAAUUGAGAUGUUUGUUAUAAUCCAAAUAGAGAUGACUAACCAGAAAUUGAUCUGUUGGUUAAAAAUUAUGUUAGAUGGAGAGGAAUGUUAUUUGAUAGGUAAAAGAGAAGUUAAACCUUAUUGACUUUGGUGUUAGAUUUUGUCGAUAACUACAAAAAUUAUAAUGAUGAUUACGUCUCUUGAAAAGGAACACCAAUUAAACAUAAUUGUACUUUUCAAUUAAACAUAAUUGAAAAGGAAAUCUCCGCUUUGGCAUUCUUCGUGAUGGAAAAGCUCGCGACUUUCAUCAGCGCUUCGUGAAGAUAUUCUCACGAAGGCCUUGAAUUCUAACGAACAUGGUGGACAUGUGAGAGGCAUAGGAGCAAAUGCCACUCCAUCAUCCUUCUUCAAGGUUGCUAGAGGGAAGGUGCAAAUUGAAGGAAUUCGAAGUGAUACUACACCGGUUGCAUAUAUUACAUCUAAAAGAUGUGAUUCGAAGGAAUUCAUUGGGGCUCGAUGCAGAGGUAUAGUUCAUCUUAUUCUUACAAUAUGCAUUGUCAUCUUUUGUAAUUGUUGGAUGCUUUUGUAAAGCAUAAAUUUUUCAUCGACAUGUACUAAAUCCUUGUUACAAGUGCUGUGGUUGUUCAGGCUUGUACAUAUAAGCGAUAGUUCUUGAAUUCCUUUAAUUGGUGAAGCAUCUUAGGAUUGAGCUCUGCAAAUUCAAAGUGUCCCAGAUGAUAAUGUGCAGCUUUUUUUGACCUGUAGUAUUUUGGUUUGCACUUGUACUCUAUGGCUUCAGUUAUUCAGAUCCUAGGUUUAUGUUUGCUUUGGCCUAUUUGCAUAUAUUGUAGCAUGAAAAUAGAUGCUGAUACACAGUUUUGGCUACACACUUGGGUGCAUCUUUUGUUUUUUUAAUUUGUAGUGUUAAUUUUAGUUCAUAUUUUUCUUUAUCCGCUUGUAACACUGCCUUAUGUUUUUGCCACUUUCAAUUAUAUUGAUUAUCUCUUUUUGGGUGAUUACGUUGAUCGUGGCCAACAUAGCCUGGAAACUAUUACUCUUCUCCUUGCAUUGAAGGUAUUACUUUCCCCUCAAGCUUGUCAAUGUGAUCAGUCUUAUCCAAGCAAAUAUUUUUAUGAAAAUAUUUAGCAUCAAAGAAUUCUUGAAGAUUGAGUAUCCACAUAAUAUACAUUUAAUUCGUGGAAACCAUGAGGCAACAGACAUUAAUGCUUUAUUUGGGUUUCGUACCGAGUGCAUCGAGAGAAUGGGAGAACAAGACGGAAUCUGGGCAUGACACCGUAUUAACAGAUUGUUUAAUUGGUUGCCUUUAGCUGCUUUAAUGGAGAAGAAAGUUAUCUGCAUGCAUGGUGGUAUUGGUCAUUCCAUAAAUCAUGUAGAGCAGAUCGAAAACCUUCAACGACCUAUCACAAUGGAAACUGGCGCAAUAGUUCUUAUGGAUCUGCUAUGGUCUGAUCCAACAGAGAACGACAGUGUUGAGGGGUUAAGACCAAAUGGCAAGGGGUUUGGCUUGGUUACUUUUGGGGUGAGUGAUUAUAUGUUUGGCUCGGACCAUUUUCUACUCAAUUCCUAUACAAUGGUUUCAAAGUUUUGAUCUUUUGAUGUGACAAUCUGACCGAGUUAGUUAUUGAGUUCUGCAAUAAUAAUGACCUCCAGUUGAUAGUAAGGGCACAUGAGUGUGUCAUGGAUGGUUUUGAAUGAUUUGCUCAGAGUCAUUUAAUCACUCUUUUCUCUGCAACUAACUAUUGUGGAACAACAAAUAACACGGGGGCAAUUUUGGUUUUGGGACCAGAUCAAAGUUAAUUCAUCCCUUACCUCCUGCCUUCCAUUCUCCUGAAACAUCACCAGAACGUCAUAUUGAGGAUACAUGGAUGCAAGAAAUUAAUGCUAACAGACCAGCCACACCUACCCGAGGUAGACCUCAAGUGGCCAAUGAUCGAGGUUCUCUAGCCUGGAUAUAGAAAUCAUCCCAAAUAUGGUAUACUAAUUCCCCUUCUGUGAACUGAGGUUCCUGGUGGUUCAGCUGUUGGACCUACUCUUUUGAACAAGAAGCUGGGUUUAUAAACUGGCCAUCAAAAUUUGUAAAGCUCUUAGAUAUUUCAACAUGUAAAGUUGAUUGAAAGUUGCUCACCAAUAGUGUUUUUGUGGUAGUUAUUCUUUCCUUGUCGAGACAAACUGAGGUUAACAAUUACUAUGAGCCGUGUAUAAUAACAAUCUUUUCCCUUAUUGCAGUUCCGUCGCUAUAA